rnacentral:rRNA from 1 species
AUUGAACGCUGGCGGCAUGCUUUACACAUGCAAGUCGAACGGUAACAGGCCUUCGGGUGCUGACGAGUGGCGAACGGGUGAGUAAUGCAUCGGAACGUACCCAGAGGUGGGGGAUAACGCAGCGAAAGCUGUGCUAAUACCGCAUGUGAUCUGAGGAUGAAAGCGGGGGACCGAGCAGCAAUGUUUGGCCUCGCGCCUUUGGAGCGGCCGAUGUCGGAUUAGCUAGUUGGUGGGGUAAAGGCCUACCAAGGCGACGAUCCGUAGCUGGUCUGAGAGGACGACCAGCCACACUGGGACUGAGACACGGCCCAGACUCCUACGGGAGGCAGCAGUGGGGAAUUUUGGACAAUGGGCGCAAGCCUGAUACAGCAAUGCCGCGUGCGGGAAGAAGGCCUUCGGGUUGUAAACCGCUUUUGGCAGGAACGAAACGGUGUCCGCUAAUACCGGGCGCUAAUGACGGUACCUGCAGAAUAAGCACCGGCUAACUACGUG